GAGCGGCUGCUCAGUCGGUAGAGCAUGGGACUCUUAAUCCCAGAGUCGUGGGUUNGGGCCCCAUGUUGGGAG
rnacentral:tRNA from 1 species